rnacentral:rRNA from 1 species
GAGUUUGAUUCUGGCUCAGGAUAAACGCUGGCGGCGCACAUAAGACAUGCAAGUCGAACGGACUUAAUCGAAUGUUUACAUUUGAAGCGGUUAGUGGCGGACUGGUGAGUAACGCGUAAGUAACCUGCCUAGUAGAGGGGAAUAACAGUGAGAAAUCAUUGCUAAUACCGCAUAAGCUCACAAUAACACAUGUUAUAGUGAGAAAAGGAGAAAUCCACUAUUAGAUGGACUUGCGUCUGAUUAGUUAGUUGGUGAGGUAAUGGCUCACCAAGACCAAGAUCAGUAGCCGGACUGAGAGGUUGAACGGCCACAUUGGGACUGAGAUACGGCCCAGACUCCUACGGGAGGCAGCAGUCGGGAAUAUUGCGCAAUGGAGGAAACUCUGACGCAGUGACGCCGCGUGCAGGAUUGAAGGUUUUCGGAUUGUAAACUGCUUUAGACAGGGACGAAAAAAUGACG